AAAUUUAUAUCUUAUUUGAAUUACUCUAUUUUAAAAAUUCAUGUGAAUUUCACAUGAAAAAUUUUACGUGAUUUUCAUGUGAAAUUCACAUGAGUUUCACAUGAGAAUCACGUGAAACUCACAAAAAUUGUUUUCACGUGAGUUUCACGUAUAAGCUCGUUUGAGGUGAAAUUGAUGUGAAUUUCACGUGAGAUUCACAUGAAUUUAAAUUCACGUGAAAUUGAUGUGAGUGAAAUUUGCCUGUGUAA
rnacentral:lncRNA from 1 species